CUACAUGAAGCUGGAAUCGCUAGUAAUCGCAGGUCAGCAUACUGCGGUGAAUACGUUCCCGGGUCUUGUACACACCGCCCGUCACACCAUGGGAGCCGGAAAUGCCCGAAGCCAGUGACCCAACCUUAGGGAGGGAGCUGUCGAAGGUGGAGCCGGUAACUGGGGUGAAGUCGUAACAAGGUAAC
rnacentral:rRNA from 1 species